UUAUCCGAUCCGGAAACAACUCGAGACGGGAGAAGGAAGAGAUAAAAAAGUUAGAGAACGGAAGGUGAAAGCUCUAAUAAAGAAAGGUACCAAAAAAAUUUAUUAGACCACCAAGAUCAAAAGAGAAAUUGAUCAAGGAGCUAGAAGAAAAAACUCAACUCUAGACACUUUCGAACUCGAACUAAA
rnacentral:sRNA from 10 species